GAUCAUCAUGGGUUUCCAAUGAUGCAAGUUGAUGGUGGCUCAGGGCAGGCCUGGAACUGGGAGAAAGAAGAGAAAGUACGUUAAGAAAGUAAGAUGAUACUUUGGCCGAAACCGGUUUGGCUCAGUGGAUAGAGCGUCGGCC